UGCUCCAUGGCAUCGGAGGCCCCCUCUGGAAAGACUCAAAGACUCAAUAGCUGGAAGCUGGAAUCAUCUGGAGGUUUCUUCACUUAUGUGUCCAGCACUUGAAUCUGGGUCCUCACCUGGACGGUUGAUCGGAACACCUAUCUGUGGACCCUCCAUGUGGGCAGCUGCUUUGCACUUCCUCAUAAUGCGGCAGCCACAUCAAAGGGCCACAUUCCAAGGUGCAAAGCAGAAGUAUAUAGAAUUUUUACAAUCUAACAGUAGAAGAGAAACUUUACCCAAAAUAAAUUUAACAGAGUAUCUUUGAGCAAAGAAUGACUUGAGAAUUAAGUAAUCCUCAGAACAAGAAAAGGUUCCAAGAACGCCACUCUGCAACAUGGACAGUUGAGAGAAAAAGGCCAGAGAAGGCAGAAACAAGGAACAAAAAGCAGAUUGGUCAUUUCAAAGCUACUUUCCUUGUAAAGCAGAGUGGAUUUUCCUAUCCUGCUGGCCAAAAGUGAUCUGUUUCAGAAUUUGGCUAUUAUUUCUCUCUCUUUCCUGAUUCCUGGGAAGGUCAGACAAAUAUUGGUGUGGUGAUAUGAAACUUUGGCAUGAGUGAUGCUGUUUUGGUUUGGUCUGUUGAGUCUGCAGGAGCUCAGUCCAAAAUAGUGAACUCCUGUAAACUGUACUUAACACUAGCCUCACAAGUUACAUUGUGUCACUGCCAGAGGCCUUGGACCCAGAGUGACUUCCUCUUGAAUAGGGGCUGGGUAAAAUGAGGCUGAGACCCAUUGGGCUGCAUUCUCAGGAGGUUAGGCAUUUUUAGUCAUAGGAUGAGAUAGGAGGUCAGCACAAGAUACAAGUCACAAAGACCUUGUUGAUAAAACUGGAAGCGGCGUAGAAGCCAGGCAAAACCCGCCAAAACCAAGAUGGUGAUAAAAAUGACCUCUGGUCACCCUCACUGCUCAUUAUACAUUAAUUAUAAUGCAUUUACAUGCCAAAAGGCACUCCCACCAGCACUAUGACCAUUUACAAAUGCCAGGGCAACAUCAAGAAGUUACCCUGUAUUGUCUAAAAAUGGGAGGAACCCUCAGUUCUGGAAAUUGCCCAUCCUUUUCCUCCAAGUAGCUAUUCUUCUGCUCCUUUACUUUCUUAAUAAAUUUGCUUUCACUUUACUCUGUGAACUCACCCCAAAUUCUUUCUUGUGCGAGGCCAAGCACCCUCUCUUCUUGGGGUGUGGAUCAGGACCCCUUUCCAGUAACAUCACUUCUACUAUGUUCAGCUGAGGCAGUGACAAAGGUCUGUCUGGGUUUUGGGGGAGGAGCUCAAAGGAGGAGUGUUAAGGUCCCAUGGGAAGAGGAGCAUGCAGCAGUGGCAAUCUUGUGACCAUCUUUGGAAAAUUCAAUCAGUAAGGUGCAAUUUCUCAAUUUUUCUCAUUUCUCUAUCAUUACAAAAUUACUUAAAAUCCUAAAAGUAAUAUAAAUACAGUAACAAAACUUAGAAAACAUAAAAGAAAAAUCCAUAAUUGUCCUCCUUCAUGUAAUUGCCCCACAGGUUCUUCCUGCCUGCUGCACGGACAAAAUCAAUCCACUGACACCAUGGCAUUGCAAUAAAGAAAGAGUUUAACUGAGAUGGAGGGAGCCUCCCUGCCAAAAGAGUCUCCGCCUGGAGUUGAAAGACCCACACUGCUCCUCACUGAUGUGCUCUCAGUCUCCUCAUCUGUAAAAUGGGGACAAUCAAAUCACACCUGUGCUGCCCACCUCAGGAUCACUGCUGUGAGGACCGAGCAACAUGAUACAUGUGAAAGAGGGGCAAAAUGGCCACGUCCUCCACACGUAAAAGCCAUGCUGACUUUGCAGACGUCUUGCCAUUCUAUUCUAAUUUGGGCACUAACUCUUUAUUAAAGCUUUAUUUUUAUA